CCUUGCCCGACAGGUCCGGGAAACCCGUUGAACCCCGGUCGUGCUAGGGAUAGGGAAUUGCAAUUAUUUCCCUUGAACGAGGAAUUCCCAGUAAGCGCGAGUCAUUAGCUCGCGUUGAUUACGUCCCUGCCCUUUGUACACACCGCCCGUCGCUACUACCGAUUGAAUGGUUUAGUGAGGUCCUCCGAUUGGACCCGGUCCGGGCGGCGACGUCCGAGCCGGCGUCCGAGAAGACGAUCUAACUUGAUCAUUUAGAGGAAGUAAAAGUCGUAACAAGGUUUCCGUAGGUGAACCUGCGGAAGGAUCAUUA
rnacentral:ncRNA from 1 species